UCUCCAGUCUUUCAUGGUUGCUGGGAACAGUUCACCGUGCACAGGUUUUGACAUGCCCUGGUUCAAAUGCUGGUUCUACCACUAGCUUGCUGUGUGAUCACGAACUCUGAGACUGUUGUCUGAAAAAUAGGAGGAUCAAUCCUUUAUUUACAGAGUGCUUUUCUGAGGAUUAAAUGUCAGGCCCGGGCAAGGUUUGGCUGAUGGGGAUGGUGAUCAGGCACCAUGCAGGAUCCAAGAAGGUGCCAGAAUCCAUCAGGGCUGGAGAGGAACAGGCAGGAUGACCAUGUGUCUGUCUGUCCAGCUGGGUCAUGAGAGGUCCAUGCUUUGGUCUCAGUAUUGACCCCUUUGGAGGCCUUAUCAGAUGAUGUUUCUUGCCUGUCUUUGUAGACUUCAGAAAAUGAAGGAAACUUGCUUCAAGUUACUUAGGCAUAAUAAAGACCUCUGCUGAAACCAGUUUAUUAUCUGCCUGCUUACUGCAAUUCAACACCUGUUGGGUGAAAGGAGCAUCAGGGUGGACAGUACUCUUAAGGUCACAUCGCAUCUGGUGGAAUGUGCUGAAUUUGAGAGUUUGAGCUCCAACCAGAGAGAGCACUUUUGAAAUGGAAAUGCAGUCAUCCAAACAGCCAGUGGUGAGCCACGCCCUGCACCGUCACAGCCCAAAGGCAGGGUACACUGUGUACAGAGCCUGUGAGCCAAAGGCAGUGCUGGCCAAGUUGAGCUCUGAGUGCGGACCUGGCUCCCAGUGAAGGAAUGAACCAAAGCAGACCUCGCAGAGCUCCCGUCUAGCCACCGGGUCCACCUGCCUUGGGACAACUCCUUGCGCCACGUCUGCUGGCUGGAUUUGGAUGGGGUUAUUCAUCCCUCCUCGCUGAACUGGACUCAGAAGUGCUGGGGUAGAGAUGACUGGCUGUCAUGUUGGGUCGUGUCACCAGCCUCUCUUCCAGGGCUUCCUGGUCCUCUUCGAACUUUGAAUAAGGGCCUGCACAGUCUGGUGAUAUACGGAUAUAAAGGUGAACACACAGAGUGCUAUAAACUGAAUUGUGUCCCCUCAAAAUUCCUAUGGUGAGAUCCUCCCCACCCCCUACCCGGUGGUUGCCUUGGAGAUGGGAUCCACAGGGAAAUAACUGCAGUUAAAUGCAUUCACAGGGCGAAACCUCAUCCUGGGGUAGGGCUGCUGCCCUAAUAAGGACAUGGGGAUGUUAGAAUUCUCCCCUCCAUGUGAGGCACAGCCAGACGGUAGCCAUCUGCAACCAGGAAGAGGGCCCUUGCCGGCAGCCCAGUCAGCCAGCACCUAGACCUUGGCCUUCUAGCCUCCAGAACUGUGAGAAAAUAAACUUCUGUUGUCAAAGCCA